rnacentral:rRNA from 1 species
UACGGAGGGUGCAAACGUUGCUCGGAAUCAUUGGGCGUAAAGCGCACGUAGGCGGCUCGUUAAGUCGGAUGUGAAAGCCCUGGGCUCAACCCAGGAAGUGCAUACGAAACUGGCGAGCUUGAAUAUGGAAGAGGGUCGCGGAAUUCCCGGUGUAGAGGUGAAAUGCGUAGAUAUCUGGAGGAACACCGGUGGCGAAGGCGGCAUCCUGGACCGGCAUUGACGCUGAGGAGCGAAAGCCAGGGGAGCAAACGGG